rnacentral:rRNA from 1 species
GACGAACGCUGGCGGCGUGCUUAACACAUGCAAGUCGAGCGGUAAGGCCCUUUCGGGGGUACGACGAGCGGCGAACGGGUGAGUAACACGUGGGUGACCUGCCCUCAGCUCUGGGAUAAGCCUGGGAAACCGGGGUCUAAUACUGGAUAUGACUCCAUGACGCAUGUUGUGGGGUGGAAAGCCUUGUGCGGCUGAGGAUGGGCCCGCGGCCUAUCAGCUUGUUGGUGGGGUGAGGCCUACCAAGGCGACGACGGGUAGCCGGCCUGAGAGGGCGACCGGCCACACUGGGACUGAGACACGGCCCAGACUCCUACGGGAGGCAGCAGUGGGGAAUCUUGCGCAAUGGGCGAAAGCCUGACGCAGCGACGCCGCGUGAGGGAUGACGGCCUGG